rnacentral:sRNA from 1 species
GCGGCCGCAGCAGCGGAUCCGGCGGCUGCUGCAGCCCGGGCGGCUGCGCAGAAGGAGGGAGGGGAAACACAAAGCCGGCUACGCGCUGCGAGAUAACAAGAGUAAUCCACAGACUUAAAACAUGAGCUCAGAUGCCAGCCAAGGUGUGAUUACCACUCCUCCUCCUCCCAGCAUGCCUCACAAAGAGAGAUAUUUUGACCGCAUCAAUGAAAAUGACCCAGAAUACAUUAGGGAGAGGAACAUGUCUCCUGAUCUACGACAAGACUUCAACAUGAUGGAGCAGAGGAAACGAGUUACUCAGAUCCUGCAAAGUCCUGGCCAGUGGUAUUCUAUUUCCAAAUGAGUACAUUUCUUAAUGGAGAAAUUCUAAAUGGAGUUUCGCUCUUGUUGCCCAGGCUGGAGUGCAAUGGCAUGAUCUCGGCUCACCGCAUCCUCCUCCUCCCAAGUUCAAGCUAUUCUCCUACCUCAGCCUCCCGAGUAGCUGGGGUUACAGGCGUGCACCACCACGCUGGGCUAAUUUUGUAUUUUUAAUAGAGACGGGGAUUCUCCAUGUUGGUCAGGCUGGUCUCCAACUCCCCACCACAGGCCUUUCGGGAAGACUUGGAAUGCCUUAUUCAAGAACAGAUGAAGAAAGGCCACAACCCAACUGGAUUACUAGCAUUACAGCAGAUUGCAGAUUACAUCAUGGCCAAUUCUUUCUCGGGUUUU